rnacentral:rRNA from 1 species
AACGAACGCUGGCGGCAGGCUUAACACAUGCAAGUCGAACGCAUCCUUCGGGGUGAGUGGCAGACGGGUGAGUAACGCGUGGGAACGUGCCCUUCAGUUCGGGAUAACCCAGGGAAACUUGGGCUAAUACCGGAUACGUGCGAGAGCAGAAAGAUUUAUCGCUGAAGGAUCGGCCCGCGUCUGAUUAGCUAGUUGGUGGGGUAAUGGCCCACCAAGGCGACGAUCAGUAGCUGGUCUGAGAGGAUGAUCAGCCACAUUGGGACUGAGACACGGCCCAAACUCCUACGGGAGGCAGCAGUGGGGAAUAUUGGACAAUGGGCGCAAGUCUGAUCCAGCCAUGCCGCGUGAGUGAUGAGGGCCUUAGGGUUGUAAAGCUCUUUCGUCCGGGACGAUAAUGACGGUACCGGAAGAAGAAGCCCCGGUUAACUUCGUGCCAGCCGCCGCGGUAACAC